GAUGAACGCUGGCGGCGUGCCUAAUACAUGCAAGUCGAGCGAACAGACGAGGAGCUUGCUCCUCUGACGUUAGCGGCGGACGGGUGAGUAACACGUGGAUAACCUACCUAUAAGACUGGGAUAACUUCGGGAAACCGGAGCUAAUACCGGAUAAUAUAUUGAACCGCAUGGUUCAAUAGUGAAAGACGGUUUGGCUGUCACUUAUAGAUGGAUCCGCGCCGCAUUAGCUAGUUGGUAAGGUAACGGCUUACCAAGGCGACGAUGCGUAGCCGACCUGAGAGGGUGAUCGGCCACACUGGAACUGAGACACGGUCCAGACUCCUACGGGAGGCAGCAGUAGGGAAUCUUCCGCAAUGGGCGAAAGCCUGACGGAGCAACGCCGCGUGAGUGAUGAAGGCCUUCGGAUCGUAAAACUCUGUUAUUAGGGAAGAACAAAUGUGUAAGUAACUAUGCACGUCUUGACGGUACCUAAUCAGAAAGCCACGGCUAACUACGUG
rnacentral:rRNA from 1 species